GAUGAACGCUGGCGGCGUGCUUAACACAUGCAAGUCGAACGGAAAGGCCCAAGCUUGCUUGGGUACUCGAGUGGCGAACGGGUGAGUAACACGUGGGUGAUCUGCCCUGCACUUCGGGAUAAGCCUGGGAAACUGGGUCUAAUACCGGAUAGGACGAUGGUUUGGAUGCCAUUGUGGAAAGUUUUUUCGGUGUGGGAUGAGCUCGCGGCCUAUCAGCUUGUUGGUGGGGUAAUGGCCUACCAAGGCGUCGACGGGUAGCCGGCCUGAGAGGGUGUACGGCCACAUUGGGACUGAGAUACGGGCCAGACUCCGACGGGAGGCAGCAGUGGGGAAUAUUGCACAAUGGGCGCAAGCCUGAUGCAGCGACGCCACGUGGGGGAUGACGGCCUUCGGGUUGUAAACUCCUUUCGCUAGGGACGAAGCGUUUUUGUGACGGUACCUGGAGAAGAAGCACCGGCUAACUACGUG
rnacentral:rRNA from 1 species